rnacentral:lncRNA from 1 species
UCACCCUCACAUCAUUGUUUAAAAAAGAUAAAAUGGGAUAGAAGUGUAGCGCUAGGCUACCAUACAAGGGUUUAACAUUGGGCUAGGUAGAAGGUUGUACCACUAGUCUAUGGUAAGGGUGUACCCCUGAUCUAUAGUCGAGAUUUCAAGUUACAUCUACUCGUAGGAUAACAGACUGGUAAAAGUAAAGAUAAAGAUAAUUUGAUUGGAUUGAUUGUCCAAGCAUCUCUCAUAUAGAGUACAACUUUACUAUUUAUACUAGUACCUAAUAAUUGUCCACUGACAGUUGUUAUCUAUGUUCCUUACCUCUAGCAGCUCUGGUAACAUAUGUCGUUUGCCUCCUAAAACUAUAGGAUCAUAUGAUAGCUACUCCACACUAGCUGUA